rnacentral:rRNA from 1 species
UUAGGAAUUUUGCGCAAUGGGCGAGAGCCUGACGCAGCAACGCCGCGUGAGGGAUGAAGGCCUUCGGGUUGUAAACCUCUUUUAGCGGGGACGAAUAAAGUGACGGUACCCGCAGAAAAAGCACCGGCGAACUCUGUGCCAGCAGCCGCGGUAAUACAGAGGGUGCGAGCGUUAUUCGGAAUUAUUGGGCGUAAAGGGCGUGUAGGCGGUUUGUUAAGUCUGAUGUGAAAGCCCUGGACUCAAUUCAGGAAGUGCAUCGGAUACUGGCAGACUUGAGCGCAGGAGAGGAGAGUGGAAUUCCUGGUGUAGAGGUGAAAUUCGUAGAUAUCGAGGAGGAACAACAGUGGCGAAGGCGACUCUCUGGACUGCUGCUGACGCUGAGGCGCGAAAGCGUGGGGAG